rnacentral:rRNA from 1 species
AGUGAACGCUGGCGGUAGGCCUAACACAUGCAAGUCGAACGGCAGCACAGUAAGAGCUUGCUCUUACGGGUGGCGAGUGGCGGACGGGUGAGGAAUACAUCGGAAUCUACUUUUUCGUGGGGGAUAACGUAGGGAAACUUACGCUAAUACCGCAUACGACCUACGGGUGAAAGCAGGGGAUCUUCGGACCUUGCGCGAUUGAAUGAGCCGAUUUCGGAUUAGCUAGUUGGCGGGGUAAAGGCCCACCAAGGCGACGAUCCGUAGCUGGUCUGAGAGGAUGAUCAGCCACACUGGAACUGAGACACGGUCCAGACUCCUACGGGAGGCAGCAGUGGGGAAUAUUGGACAAUGGGCGCAAGCCUGAUCCAGCCAUACCGCGUGGGUGAAGAAGGCCUUCGGGUUGUAAAGCCCUUUUGUGGGGAAAGAAAAGCAGCAGGUUAAUACCCCGCUGUUCUGACGGUACCCAAAGAAUAAGCACCGGCUAACUUCGUG